rnacentral:pre_miRNA from 1 species
GGCGGCUGCUGCUGCCCCACGAUGGGUAGGAUGGCCGGUGCUAUGGAUAGCUUCAACCCGAUGUUCGUGCCACACCGCGUCCGUCGUGAGUCAAGCAGGGAGCCAAUCCUCUGGCUGAAUUUGUCCAUAGCAUCAGCACCGGCCGU